rnacentral:rRNA from 1 species
UGGGGAAUAUUGGACAAUGGGCGAAAGCCUGAUCCAGCCAUGCCGCGUGUGUGAAGAAGGUCUUCGGAUUGUAAAGCACUUUAAGUUGGGAGGAAGGGCAUUAACCUAAUACGUUAGUGUUUUGACGUUACCGACAGAAUAAGCACCGGCUAACUCUGUGCCAGCAGCCGCGGUACUACAGAGGGUGCAAGCGUUAAUCGGAAUUACUGGGCGUAAAGCGCGCGUAGGUGGUUUGUUAAGUUGGAUGUGAAAUCCCCGGGCUCAACCUGGGAACUGCAUUCAAAACUGACUGACUAGAGUAUGGUAGAGGGUGGUGGAAUUUCCUGUGUAGCGGUGAAAUGCGUAGAUAUAGGAAGGAACACCAGUGGCGAAGGCGACCACCUGGACUAAUACUGACACUGAGGUGCGAAAGCGUGGGGAGCAAACA